UCCGCUUGGUUCACACGUGUCACGUCGCUCUCCCUCGAACCGGUUGUCCGGAGCCGUAUACGUCAGCUCCGGCCCUUACAAGUCGAGCACCAACCUCUGUGUUGUUUUCGCCUUUUCAUUUCCUGUCAAGUGUCAUAUUAAGAGAUGAAAGCGUAUGAUUAUGAGUUUACUUCAUCAAAGACACACGUGUACAUUAUUUUCCUGAUAUAAGAAAACCGAACGAAAAAAUGUGAUUCCCACGGAACAAAUCAUCUGACAUCAAAUUAACAGUUAUAGAAAUUAUAAUCCUCAGGCUCUCGUCACUUGUGUUUUUUAUCUCUCUGCAAAAAAGGAGAGAGAAGGUACAAAUAUGAAUAAGGAAAGAGAUUAAUGUAAAUGAGAGAUAUAAGGAAAGGAAGCCAGACAUGAGAGACGGUAAACGCAAUCUAUUCGUAAAACAAGCUGACAGAAAAUAUAACAGACCCUAAGAAAGAAACACCGUAACAGCGUCGUAUACAUUUUUCUAUCGCAAGAGCUCUCUGUGACAGCCGGCAGGACAAGGGAGAGGCCCUGCAAGUGCGAGUUAGUGACCAGAACAAAGUAUAUCGUAAAGAAAGAAGCAGCGCUGUUGCACAAGGAGAACAUUAACCGUGUUAUUUCUGCUGUUCUCUCGCUCUUUUUGUAAGUUUUCUUUCAUUUAUUUCGUUAAGAAUUCGGUUUGUCUGAUUUCUUCUCUCUGUCUGUCAAAGAGCCGU